AUUGAACGCUGGCGGCAGGCCUAACACAUGCAAGUCGAGCGGUAGAGAGAAGCUUGCUUCUCUUGAGAGCGGCGGACGGGUGAGUAAUGCCUAGGAAUCUGCCUAGUGGUGGGGGAUAACGUUCGGAAACGGACGCUAAUACCGCAUACGUCCUACGGGAGAAAGCGGGGGAUCUUCGGACCUCGCGCCAUUAGAUGAGCCUAGGUCGGAUUAGCUAGUUGGUGAGGUAAUGGCUCACCAAGGCGACGAUCCGUAACUGGUCUGAGAGGAUGAUCAGUCACACUGGAACUGAGACACGGUCCAGACUCCUACGGGAGGCAGCAGUGGGGAAUAUUGGACAAUGGGCGCAAGCCUGAUCCAGCCAUGCCGCGUGCAGGAUGAAGGCCUUGGGUUGUAAACUGCUUUUGUACGGAACGAAACGGUCCUUUCUAAUAAAGAGGGCUAAUGACGGUACCGUAAGAUAAGCACCGGCUAACUACGUGCCAGCAGCCG
rnacentral:rRNA from 1 species